rnacentral:rRNA from 1 species
GAACGGGGAUCAGCCCAUUAAGUUAUGUGUGUUUUAGUGGAACGCUCUGGGAAGUGCGAACGUAGAGGGUGAUAUUCCCGUACACGAAAGGGCACACAUAAUGAUGACGAGUAGGGCGAGGCACGUGAAACCUUGUCUGAAUAUGGGGGGACCAUCCUCCAAGGCUAAAUACUCCUGACUGACAGAUAGUGAACCAGUACCGUGAGGGAAAGGCGAAAAGAACCCCUGUGAGGGGAGUGAAAUAGAUCCUG